rnacentral:lncRNA from 1 species
AUAAGAAAAAAAAUAUGACUCAAAUAUCCAUGUUGGUUUAUGGAUUCAUCAUGUUUCUUUCUUUAUUUAUUGUUAUAACCAAUGGCAACAGUGGUCAAGGUUUGUCAUUUUUCAGACCAUUUUCAAAAUUUCAAUAUUAUAUCACUUUUUAAUAAUUUUAUCUUCUAAACAAUAUUAUAUCACUUUUUAAUAUUUUUAUUUUUUCUAUUUGACAAUGCAGCAACUCCAUGCUUAACAGAUUUGGAUUGCCCAAAUCUAUUUUAUUGCAAAGAGAAGUUUUGUGCACCCAUUGUGUGGAGACAUUCACCACAAGAUAAAUUUAGAACAAUUAAAGGCCCCAGAAAAAUGGAGAUAAAAUGAGAAUACUCGAUCUUUCAUUUUAGAAAAAUUCUAUGGUGAAGUCAUGUUUUAGAUUUGUUUGGUGAAUUAACGAAAUAUUAUGUCGGAUAUAUCUUUUAGAACAUAGAUCUAAAAACAUAUAUCUAAUUAAAUAUUAUUGGUGAAUUAAUGAAAUAUUAUUGGUGAACAGUUUCCUAGGAUUAAAUAGGCAUUAUAUCCCUUGUACAAAUGAAUACCAUCUCAUAUCCGUUGCCUUCCACCCUCAAUAACACUUUAAUCUCAAGAUGUAUAUCUGCUUGGCUUAAUGAGAGACUUGUGACAUUUCCUCAAAAAAUAAUUAGAAUGACGAAAAUUGAGUGAAAACUCUAUAAUUAGAAACCGUUGUAAUAACUAAUAAGCGGUGGAUGGGAU